rnacentral:rRNA from 1 species
AAUAGAUACCCGGGUAGUCCACGCCGUAAACGAUGAAUGCUAGGUGUUAGGGGGUUUCGAUACCCUUGGUGCCGAAGUUAACACAUUAAGCAUUCCGCCUGGGGGAGUACGGCCGCAAGGCUGAAACUCAAAGGAAUUGACGGGGACCCGCACAAGCAGUGGAGUAUGUGGUUUAAUUCGAAGCAACGCGAUGAACCUUACCAGGUCUUGACAUCCCCCUGACCGGUACAGAGAUGUACCUUUCCUUCGGGACAGGGGAGACAGGUGGUGCAUGGUUGUCGUCAGCUCGUGUCGUGAGAUGUUGGGUUAAGUCCCGCAACGAGCGCAACCCUUGACUUUAGUUGCCAGCAGGUAAGGCUGGGCACUCUAGAGUGACUGCCGGUGACAAACCGGAGGAAGGUGGGGAUGACGUCAAAUCAUCAUGCCCCUUAUGACCUGGGCUACACACGUACUACAAUGGCCGGUACAACGGGAAGCGAAGGAGCGAUCUGGAGCGAAUCCUUUAAAGCCGGUCCAGUUCGGAUUGCAGGCUGCAACUCG